AGAGACAGCAGUAGCCGCGGUAAUACGUAGGUGGCAAGCGUUGUCCGGAAUUAUUGGGCGUAAAGCGAGCGCAGGCGGUUAGAUAAGUCUGAAGUUAGAGGCUGUGGCUUAACCAUAGUACGCUUUGGAAACUGUUUAACUUGAGUGCGAGAGGGGAGAGUGGAAUUCCAUGUGUAGCGGUGAAAUGCGUAGAGAUGUGGAGGAACACCGAUGGCGAAGGCAGCCCCCUGGGCCAAUACUGACGCUCAUGCACGAAAGCGUGGGGAGCAAACAGGAUUAGAUACCCCCGUAGUCCCUGUCUCUUAUACA
rnacentral:rRNA from 1 species